rnacentral:lncRNA from 12 species
GGUUUUUUUGUUUGUUUGUUUUGUUUUUUUGUUUGUUUGGUUGGUUGGUUUUUUUUCAGGGGAAAUAAGCUUGAGGUGGUUUAGAGUGUCAGGUAAGAUGCUGAAGAAGCUCAGUUCCUUCCCACUUUUGCUGUUCUUUCCCACUUUUACUCAACUAGAGCAGCUCUACUUCAUUGCUUAAUUUCUUAAUACUGAGAUUACCUGUAAAAUUUCUCUUGAGGAAAUGUGGCUCAAUUGCUUUUUAAAAGGGUUAAAAAAUAAUAGUAGAGGGAGAUGCAAGCAUAUGUAGCCCUCCAACUUCAAAGGAAAUGUAUUCCAAUAUUUUAAUUCUAUUCAAUUAAAUAUUUAUUUUUACUCUUAUUUUUUUCAGUGUCUUGGGGUUGCAAUAAUGACAGAAGUCCUGAAAUGAAUUGAAAGCUCCUUUCUUCACCAUCCAGUGCUCAUUCAGUUGGUCUCUGUAAUAUCACUUUACUUUGUUUGUUUGCUUGUUUUACACGGAUCUUGUAGAAUCAAGGAUUCUUUUUCAAUAUUCCAGUCCUUCCAAGUCAGAUGAGAACCAUAAACUGUGUGCCUUCUUUGUGGUUACGUUGCUUAGGUUACAUGAUCCUGCUUCAAGAACCACUUGACCUUGGAAGAAAAGGAGCAAGAAGAGUAGAGAAGUAGAGAAGGAGAAGGGAAGAAGAAGGAGUGAGAGGAGAAGGAAAGGCUCUAGCAAAAGGACCUAAAAUACAGGUAAUUAGAGUGGUCAAGAGAGCUUCCUGUUACCACAGCCUUCACUCUGUGGUCAACCACUCAGUUCUUGAUCAAGCAGAAGCAAUUUAAUAUUUUGAGAGAAUGUAGCAUCCUUACAACAGUGCUUAGUAUAAUGGCAUUUGCUCACAGAGUGUUCAGAAAACAUUUGUUGAAGAAAAUAGUGUUUGCCUUCCAAAUGUUAUCACCAUUCUAAUGAGCAGUGAAAUGACUAAAGAUGAGAGAAACAGAGUUCUAGAUUAUUCCUUUAGGGAUAACGAGAGGUUGAAUAGAAAGUAGAGCAAAAUAUUUAUUUACUUCCUCUCUUUCUUGCUUUCUAGUGGACAUGGAUGCCAGAGGAUUUAGUAAAUUGUAUCAGUCAAGCAUAGCUCAAUUCCUUCUUAAUCCUAAUUCCAGAGUAUAUUCUAGAAUUCCAGAAUAAUACUUACCUGAACAUGACUUGUCUUAAGAAGAAGAAAUGUGUUAGAGCAGGACAUCAUCCAAGAUAAUCCUCUAUUAUGCUUUUAAAAAUCGCUCUGAAAAACAGUGGGUAACCAUGCUACUUGUUUGUAAAAUGUUUAAAAACUGUCGUUGGGGCUGC